rnacentral:rRNA from 1 species
UACGGAGGAUGCAAGCGUUAUCCGGAAUUAUUGGGCGUAAAGGGUCCGCAGGUGGCCAUGUGUGUCUGCUGUCAAAGAAUGAGGCUUAACCUCAUCAAGGCAGUGGAAACUACAUAGCUAGAGUACGGUCGGGGUAGAAGGAAUUCCUGGUGUAGCGGUGAAAUGCGUAGAGAUCAGGAAGAACACCGGUGGCGAAAGCGUUCUGCUAGACCUGUACUGACACUGAGGGACGAAAGCUAGGGGAGCGAAUGGG